rnacentral:tRNA from 1 species
UUUCUUAUGGUGUAAACAACACAUUACAUUUUCAUUGUAAAUUUGAAGCUUAAAUUACUUCUAAGAAAU